UGGAUUUUGGUGUAUGAUGCACAGUAAAUUUUGAAUUUUCAGGUAAUAGUUUAAUUCUAUUAAAUCCAA
rnacentral:tRNA from 1 species